rnacentral:rRNA from 1 species
CCUACGGGUGGCAGCAGUCGAGAAUCAUGCACAAUGGGGGAAACCCUGAUGGAGCGACGCCGCGUGGGGGAAUGAAGGUCUCCGGAUUGUAAACCCCUGUCAUGUGGGAGCAAAUUAAAAAGAUAGUACCACAAGAGGAAGAGACGGCUAACUCUGUGCCAGCAGCCGCGGUAAUACAGAGGUCUCAAGCGUUGUUCGGAAUCACUGGGCGUAAAGCGUGCGUAGGCUGUUUCGUAAGUCGUGUGUGAAAGGCGCGGGCUCAACCCGCGGACGGCACAUGAUACUGCGAGACUAGAGUAAGGGAGGGGGAACCGGAAUUCUCGGUGUAGCAGUGAAAUGCGUAGAUAUCGAGAGGAACACUCGUGGCGAAGGCGGGUUCCUGGACAUUAACUGACGCUGAGGCACGAAGGCCAGGGGAGCGAAAGGGAUUAGAUACCCCUGUAGUC